rnacentral:rRNA from 1 species
ACGCAUUAGCACUCCGCUGGGGGGUACGACCGCAAGGUUGAAACUCAAAGGAAUGACGGGGGCCCGCACAGCGGUGGAGCAUGUGGUUUAAUUCGAAGCAACGCGAAGAACCUUACCAGGUCUUGACAUCCUUUGACCACUCUAGAGAUAGAGCUUUCCCUUUGGGGACAAAGUGACAGGUGGUGCAUGGUGUCGUCAGCUCGUGUCGUGAGAUGUUGGGUUAAGUCCCGCAACGAGCGCAACCCUUAUUGUUAGUUGCCAUCAUUAAGUUGGGCACUCUAGCGAGACUGCCGGUGACAAACCGGAGGAAGGUGGGGAUGACGUCAAAUCAUCAUGCCCCUUAUGACCUGGGCUACACACGUGCUACAAUGGACAGUACAAUGAGCAGCGACACGGCGACGUGAAGCGAAUCUCAUAAAGCUGUUCUCAGUUCGGAUUGUAGGCUGCAACUCGCCUACAUGAAGCCGGAAUCGCUAGUAAUCGCGGAUCAGCACGCCGCGGUGAAUACGUUCCCGGGCCUUGUACACACCGCCCGUCACACCACGAAAGUUUGUAACACCCGAAGUCGGUGAGGUAACCGCAAGGAGCCAACCGCCUAAGGUGGGAUAGAUGAUUGGGGUGAAGUCGUAACAAGGUAACCAAGGGCGAAUUCCAG